rnacentral:rRNA from 1 species
CUGACAGCAGUAGCGUGCAGGAUGACGGCCCUAUGGGUUGUAAACUGCUUUUGUAUGGGGAUAAAGUCAGUCACGUGUGAUUGUUUGCAGGUACCAUACGAAUAAGGACCGGCUAAUUCCGUGCCAGCAGCCGCGGUAAUACGGAAGGUCCAGGCGUUAUCCGGAUUUAUUGGGUUUAAAGGGAGCGUAGGCUGGAGAUUAAGUGUGUUGUGAAAUGUAGACGCUCAACGUCUGACUUGCAGCGCAUACUGGUUUCCUUGAGUACGCACAACGUUGGCGGAAUUCGUCGUGUAGCGGUGAAAUGCUUAGAUAUGACGAAGAACUCCGAUUGCGAAGGCAGCUGACGGGAGCGCAACUGACGCUUAAGCUCGAAGGUGCGGGUAUCGAACA